CAACGAUCAUAAUUCUUGGACUG
rnacentral:siRNA from 1 species